UGGGGACAGUCCGCCGAGGACCUGUGGCACUGGGGAGGUUGGGGCAUUUUGGUGUUUCCAUGAGCAAAACUGGUCAUUCCUACCUUCUGGAUGGGUUUUGAGUUUCCUACCCACCCCCCCCUUUUUUUUUUUUUUGAGACAGAGUCUUGCUCUGUCGCCCAGGUUGGAGUGCAGUGGCACGACUCGGCUCACUGCAACCUCCACCUCCUGGGUUCAAGCAAUUCUGCCUCAGCCUCCCGCGUAGCUGAGAUUACAGGCAUGCGCCACUAAGCCUGGCUAAUUUAGUACAGAUGGGGUAUCAUCAUAUUGGUCAGGCUGGUCUCGAACUCCUAACCUCGUGAUCCGCCCACCUCGGCUUCCCAAAGUGCUAGGGUUACAGGCAUGAGGCACUGUGCCCGGCCACGUUUCCUACUCUUUAAGAUCUGUUAGCUUGGCCUUUGUUCCUAAAGGUAAGUGGCCUCAGGACCUGGUUGCAGAGGAGCUGGGGCUCCCAUGAUGUCUAGCACUGGGCUCCGAUCACCCCUGAGGACACAGUGCACCCCAGGACCUUUGACACCUGGGAGUCUGAGGGGCCCCAGUGUUAAUGGCUCAUGGACUUGCAGACUAUUUCUUCCCCCACCCUCACUGUGUCUUUCUGUGUUACAGGUGCAGCUUCAAGCUUAGGACCACCCACCAUGCCCAUCCAGGUGCUGAAGGGCCUGACCAUCGCUUGGUAAGAACAGAGGAGGCUGCCCGUGACUCGUGAUGCGUCCCUCCAGGCUCUCUGCUGUUUACUGCCUAGGCGUGGCUGCACCCACCCACCUGGGCCGGAGCUGGUUCUGCUCCUGCUACAGGGACACUGAGCUCCUGGCUGUCUCGGCGCUUUGGGCAAGAACCGCAACAAGCUCUCCUGGGCCCUGCAGGUGUACGGCCGGGCCCCUGCCUUGUGCCCCAUCUCUCGAGAACUGCUGCUGCUGGGCGACCUGAUCCAACCUGACAGGGUGCCAUCUUCAGCUACCACUGCAAGGCCCUGAGGGCAACAGCAGCGUGGCACUGCCCACCUGGCUGCUGGUGGCCUGGUGCCAGCUGGGAGUCCUCCCAGCACUUCGAGGCCACUGAGCCGCCCUUCCAGCCCUGGCCCACCAUGGAGAGGGGUAUCCAGCUUCCUCUUCAACCUCGUCUGCCCCUGAGCCAGUGACGCCCAAGGACACGUCUGUUAUGUUACCCAGGGCCUGUACCAGCGCCAGCUGGUCAAGGGCAUGACGUUGUUCUAGGCCGUCCUGGACAUCCAGGCCAUG
rnacentral:lncRNA from 1 species